UACAGAGGAUGCAAGCGUUAUCCGGAAUGAUUGGGCGUAAAGCGUCUGUAGGUGGCUUUUUAAGUCCGCCGUCAAAUCCCAGGCUCAACUCUGGACAGGCGGUGGAAACUACCAAGCUGGAGUACGGUAGGGGCAGGAGGAAUUUCCGGUGGAGCGUGAAAUGCGUAGAGAUCGGAAAGAACACCAACGGCGAAAGCACUCUGCUGGCCGACACUGACACUGAGAGACGAAAGCUAGGGGAGCGAAUGG
rnacentral:rRNA from 1 species